rnacentral:rRNA from 1 species
AGAGCGAACGCUGGCGGCAGGCUUAACACAUGCAAGUCGAGCGGGCGUAGCAAUACGUCAGCGGCAGACGGGUGAGUAACGCGUGGGAACAUACCUUUUGGUUCGGAACAACACAGGGAAACUUGUGCUAAUACCGGAUAAGCCCUUACGGGGAAAGAUUUAUCGCCGAAAGAUUGGCCCGCGUCUGAUUAGCUAGUUGGUGAGGUAAUGGCUCACCAAGGCGACGAUCAGUAGCUGGUCUGAGAGGAUGAUCAGCCACAUUGGGACUGAGACACGGCCCAAACUCCUACGGGAGGCAGCAGUGGGAAUAUUGGACAAUGGGCGCAAGCCUGAUCCAGCCAUGCCGCGUGAGUGAUGAAGGCCCUAGGGUUGUAAAGCUUCUUUUGUGCGGGAAGAUAAUGACGGUACCGCAAGAAUAAGCCCCGGCUAACUACGCGCCAGCAGCCGC